rnacentral:rRNA from 1 species
GAUGAACGCUGGCGGCGUGCCUAAUACAUGCAAGUCGAGCGAACAGACGAGGAGCUUGCUCCUCUGACGUUAGCGGCGGACGGGUGAGUAACACGUGGAUAACCUACCUAUAAGACUGGGAUAACUUCGGGAAACCGGAGCUAAUACCGGAUAAUAUAUUGAACCGCAUGGUUCAAUAGUGAAAGACGGUUUUGCUGUCACUUAUAGAUGGAUCCGCGCCGCAUUAGCUAGUUGGUAAGGUAACGGCUUACCAAGGCAACGAUGCGUAGCCGACCUGAGAGGGUGCUCGGCCACCCUGGAACUGAGCCACGGUCCCGACUCCUACGGGAGGCAGCAGUAGGGAAUCUUCCGCAAUGGGCGAAAGCCUGACGGAGCAACGCCGCGUGAGUGAUGAAGGUCUUCGGAUCGUAAAACUCUGUUAUUAGGGAAGAACAAAUGUGUAAGUAACUAUGCACGUCUUGACGGUACCUAAUCAGAAAGCCACGGCUAACUACGUG